GAUCAAAUCUUGUUUUUUUGUUGUUGCUGUUGGUUUUAAGCUGGUUAGCGGCGAAACUCACACACACAUUAUGUACUGAGAAGUGGAGAAUUGUGGGUUCAAACCUGCGUUCCAACAUAUCAAAUGUCCCUGCAAAAUUUUACCAUCUGAGUUGUACUUACGGGACAAUCUCAGUGUUAUUUGUUUGUGUUUUCUUUUGAACCUGAUUGUUGUAACAUACUAAAAUCAUCUUAUUAACAGGCCUGCAUUGGAUCAAGAAGUUGUAGUAUUGGAGUAUCAACCGAUACAUUUGGAGACCCUUGUAAAGGAGUGCCAAAGAGUUUAGCCGUUGAAGCUACUUGUGCAUAGACAAACAUGUAACAUGUUGCUCCAAGAGCAGUCAUCAAUUGUCUUCAACUCUUAUCUUAAAUUCUUCUUCCCUUUCCAAAUUAGAAUUGUAUUCUAGGAACAUCCCAAUUUAUUUUUCUUCAAUUAGAAUAGUUUAGUACCACUUGCAAUAAAAGAAACAAAAAUGUGGUCCUUAUGAUGUUUGAUACGUGAUAAAAUGGUCCCAUAUACUUGUAAUACAAGUUGCCCUCAGGGGGAGGGACCUGAACAGUGAAAAGUGGAAAAUUUGGACUUUUGGAGUAUGAACCAAGUUGGAUUAUUAG
rnacentral:lncRNA from 1 species